UUUCACCGAAGAGCAGUUCAAAACAUUUGCAAGAUCAUCAGCCAGUUACGACAACUGCUCAAAUCCCUCAGCUGAUCUCAAUUACCCAUCAUUCAUUGCCUUGUACCCGUUCAGCCUGGAGGAGAACUUCACCUGGUUGGAGCAGAAAUUCAGGAGGACUCUAACAAAUGUUGGUAAAGGUGGAGCAACUUAUAAAGUACAGACAGAAACUCCCAAAAAUUCCAUAGUUUCGGUGUCACCGCGAACUCUGGUGUUCAAGGAGAAGAAUGAUAAACAAAGCUAUACUUUGUCAAUUCGCUCUAUAGGUGAUAGUGAUCAGAGUAGGAACGUUGGGUCAAUCACUUGGGUUGAAGAAAAUGGUAAUCACUCAGUUAGGAGUCCUAUAGUGAUAUCUAGGAUUAUUGAUGUUUGGGGUAGUGAUGACUAGGACAAGAGGGAAAUUAUGUACAUAUGUUGUCGACAUGGGAAAAAAUAAUGUAUGCACACAAAAGAAUUCCAGUAAACACCUUGCCAAAUAUGUUUGUGUGUGAGAGAAUUGGAAGAAAGGGAAGUGAGCAACUUGUUCUUUCUACUUCUCUCAGCUUGCUGUUUGGGAUUGCGCAUUAAUUUCGAGAUGAGGCUCCUCUCCAUUUUCUAUCUCUCCCUUUCUCAAACUCUAACUUGGAUGAGAGACAUGUAUCAUGAUAAAAAAGAUAAUGACUGAGAUUUAAUUAACCAAAGCAAUGUUCCAACCAUUGUUAAGAUAGCAAAUACUCCCUCCAUUUCAAUCGGUUUAUUGAUCCGUUUGAAAGAGGAUAUCGCUUUCUUUUUCUCUUUCAUUUUAACUUUUCACAUGGUAUGUUAAAACUACAAGAUUACAAAACGAUUUGGUAUAUUCUACAUGUCUUUUUUCACGUGGUAUGUUAAAACCACAAGAUUACAAAAUGAUUUGGUAUAUUCUACGUGUCUUUAGUUAAAAAGGACAAGAUUCAAAAAAAAAUUCAUACUCUCUUAAAAUCUAUGUCAAAUCAAAACUAGAUAAAUGAAGAAAGUAUUUACUUCAAUUUUUGAAUUUCUCUAAAUUCUUACAUCCAGUUGUUAGUUCUGUAAUUUUGUUUGUAAUUUUGAGUUAAUCUUUACUUGGUUGAGUUCCCAUUUUCUACAAUUUGAUUAAUUUUUGCUUUAAUAACUGACAAGUCAAUGUGUAAUCAAUGGCCAUUAAAAUAUUGAUAUUAGACCAAAAACAAUAUUAAGGUAUGACCAAAUUUGAGCGCGAUAUAAUGUUUGUAUUACGUUACAAAUGAAAUCAGAAUUUAAAGCUUAUAAAUAUUUAAUUUAAUAUUUUUCAAGUUAUUGAAUUCAAUGAAUUUUUAUUAAAAAUAUAAGAUUUGAACUAAAAUUAUUUGGUUCAAUCAAAUCCACACGUCCGAACACUUACAAGAACGAGAAAUAUUUUAAAGUAAGACCGAAAACUGAUUACCGGGAAAAUUUGCUACUUACGGAAAAAUGUGGCAGAUUUUUGGACUAUAUCUGAAAAUUAUGGCUGUUUCUGAAAUUCAGCAUUGUUCUUCUUACUCAACCAAUUUGCAGCUGAAAUUCGCCCAAACAAACACCGAAUCCUCCACCAAAUUAUCCCAAAUCUGAGAUAUGAGCUCUCCACGACAUUUCUAAUCUAUUGCAAUAAUAUUAAGUCCAAACGAAUCUUGUUUGCGUCAAAGCCAUUUUUUCGAACUUGAGCUUUGAUGAAGCUUCAAUGGCGGAUUGUCUUCUUCUUCUUCAAAUUGUUCCUUAUAACCACGAAACGGACAGGAAUCAGCAACGACAAAUCGAUCAAAACAGUACUCAUUCGGAACAGAUCCUUUGACUCGGGCUUUCAACUUCUUAGAGUAAGUUUUUUCCUUAUAUUUCUUAAAUGGCAACAACUGAUACAUGAAACUUUCAGCUCCAUUUCAAUGGCUAUCAACGAAAUGGUUUGGAAACCAGCAGCAGAUUCCUCAAACAGAUUUUCAGAUUUUUCAACUUUUUCUGGGUUUAAUUUGACAGUAGUUAUUUAGUGUUGAAUUCGAAAAUGAACUUGUGUAAAUAGGUAAUUUAAAUUGAAAUCCAAUAAUUUUGACUGAUUAGGGAAAAUCUAUUCAAAUUAAGGAUAUUUAUGUUGAGUUUAAUAGAGAGAAUAUAAUUAGUUUCGAUAGUAAUUAAUAAACAAAAAUACUAAAUCAGAGGGAUUUAAUUACUCAAUAUUUUAUCCUUUUCCUUUCAUUUAAUUGGCCCUUCCCAAAAUUUAUUUCCACAAAACAUAGAUAUAUGCUAUUUUCACAAGUCCUAAUCAUGAGAGAACGUUAGGGACAUUUUCUUAUCAAAUUAUCGAUAACGAGAUAAUUUUGAAUGAAAUUAUUAACGGAAAUUUUUUUUAAAUUUUUAUUUCCUCAUAAUUUAGAGAUAUUUU
rnacentral:lncRNA from 1 species